rnacentral:tRNA from 2 species
UUUUAACUCAGUGGUAGAGUAAUCCCAUGGUAGCGCGUAAGCCCUCGGUUCAAACCCGACAAGGGGCU